rnacentral:lncRNA from 1 species
GCCCCUUGGAAAAGGAGCCAUUCCCAUUCUUCUCCCUUGAUUGGAGCGGUUGGAGCGUGCCCUAGCUUCCUCCAUUCUCCUCCAAAUCGAGGUUUCUCUCCUCCAAAAAUCCUUUUCCUUCCCCUAAUAACCCUCUAUCUCCUCACACAUUUGAUCUUCCAAGUCUCCUUGCUUGUUCUGGUGGUGAGUAUGGCUCCAAAAAUGAAACUCCCUCAAAGAAGAAAAUCGGUCCGUAAGUUGGAAGAGGGCGUGCGCAGGAAAAGAC